rnacentral:lncRNA from 1 species
GUUGGGUCCAGGCAGAACCUCUGGGGGCUAACGAUCUGUUUCUUACACUGGGUGGUGGGCAUGUGGUUUUUAUUUUAUUUCUUUGCUUUACAACACAUAUGUACACAUUGUAGUUGUAUGCAUCAAACUUUUCACAGUUGAAAAAAAUCUUUUAGAAAGAUCUAAUCCAGGCUCCUCCCUGGGGGUGGGGGUGGACCCUGAGCCAGCGCGCUGAGCUCCAGGGUGAGAAUUGUCUUUUAUUGACAGUGGAAGCCUGGCCCUGUAGGUAGUUCCAUGACCUCUUCCCACGGGAGUUUCUCUCUCUGGAACCUGACUGUUGAACCCAGGUUAAAAUUCUCACCCUGGGCCGAAGAAGAGGGGACAGAGCAAAUCCUUUAAGCCUGAGUGACAGAGAACAUCGUUCCAAUGGCUUCAUGCACACACCGUCUGAAUCACUGAAGAAAAUUCUGUAUCAGGUGGACGUAGAGUACCGUAUACGGAUGCAGAUAGCAAUGAGGCAGCCCCAGGCGGCGAGGGCUGGCACUGAUGGACGAGCACCCUGCCUUUUCGCCUCUCAGUGAAACAACCCAUGUCCUGACUCAUCUUCCCUAAUGGAACUGAGCCAGGUGCCCACAGCAAUGACUCUUCAUGACGCUGCCUGCCCUUCCCUGAUAUUCUCCACCCCCCUCCCAGGCUUCCUGGGGUUGCAUCCCAAAUAAACCAAAUGCACCCACAU